UACGUAGGCAAGCGUUGUCCGGAUUUAUUGGCGUAAAGAGCGUGUAGGCGGUUUUUUACAGGUCCGCUGUGAAACUCGAGCUCAACCUCGAGCUGUCGGUGAAAAACCGUAGGCUAGAGUCCGGAAGAGGAGAGUGGAAUUCCUGGUGUAGCGGUGAAAAUGCGCAGAUAUCAGGGGAGGGGAAAACACCCCGAUGGCGAAAAGGGGCAGGGUCUCUGGGGCAUUUAAACUGACGCUGAGGGAGCGAAAGCAUGGGAGCGAAAACAGGAUUUUAGAAAACCCCUAGUAGUCCCCAGACCAAAAGUCUCUGCUACCCGUAA
rnacentral:rRNA from 1 species